rnacentral:rRNA from 1 species
UGGGGAAUUUUGGACAAUGGGCGAAAGCCUGAUCCAGCAAUGCCGCGUGUGUGAAGAAGGCCUUUGGGUUGUAAAGCACUUUUAUCAGGAGCGAAACGCUGUCGGCUAAUACCCGGCGGAACUGACGGUACCUGAGGAAUAAGCACCGGCUAACUUCGUGCCAGCAGCCGCGGUAAUACGAAGGGUGCAAGCGUUAAUCGGAAUUACUGGGCGUAAAGCGUGCGUAGGCGGUUUCUUAAGUCUGCUGUGAAAUCCCCGGGCUCAACCUGGGAAUGGCAGUGGAUACUGGGAGGCUAGAGUGUGUCAGAGGGUGGUGGAAUUCCCGGUGUAGCGGUGAAAUGCGUAGAGAUCGGGAGGAACAUCAGUGGCGAAGGCGGCCACCUGGGACAACACUGACGCUGAGGCACGAAAGCGUGGGGAGCAAACAGGAUUAGAUACCCUGGUAGUCCACGCCCUAAACGAUGCGAACUGGAUGUUGGUCUCAACUCGGAGAUCAGUGUCGAAGCUAACGCGUUAAGUUCGCCGCCUGGGGAGUACGGUCGCAAGACUGGAAACUCAAAUGAAUUGACGGGGGUCAUAGCUGUUUCCUG